rnacentral:rRNA from 1 species
GUGGGGAAUUUUGGACAAUGGGCGCAAGCCUGAUCCAGCAAUGCCGCGUGCAGGAUGAAGGCCUUCGGGUUGUAAACUGCUUUUGUACGGAACGAAAAGGUCUGCCCUAAUACGGCGGGCUCAUGACGGUACCGUAAGAAUAAGCACCGGCUAACUACGUGCCAGCAGCCGCGGUAAUACGUAGGGUGCGAGCGUUAAUCGGAAUUACUGGGCGUAAAGCGUGCGCAGGCGGUUAUAUAAGACAGAUGUGAAAUCCCCGGGCUCAACCUGGGACCUGCAUUUGUGACUGUAUAGCUAGAGUACGGUAGAGGGGGAUGGAAUUCCGCGUGUAGCAGUGAAAUGCGUAGAUAUGCGGAGGAACACCGAUGGCGAAGGCAAUCCCCUGGACCUGUACUGACGCUCAUGCACGAAAGCGUGGGGAGCAAACAGAUGAUUAGAUACCCCGGUAGUCCGG